CCUUUUUAAAGCCCCCUCCCUGACUCCCCCGUGGAGUUCAUGGCCUCCUAUUAUUUAGCAGAUUUGUUUUUGCAUCCUGGUUGAACCUUCUAGUUUGAGAGGAAAAAAACUCUAUCGGGAUCAUAUAUGUGCCUUUGCAGGGACGCGGGGGGCAUAACCUAACAAAUGUGUGGGGUCAAUUGGUUUCCCAAGGGGACGCUACUGAGAAGCUGGCUCACCAAGUCCCGGCCCAGACUGCUGCUGCUCAUCGCGGGGUUGAAAAGGCCUCAGGUGACCCUCAUGCGGAGGAAAAGGAUGAAGCGCACGAAAGUAGCAAAGGCCACGUAAGCGAUCAUGCAUCGGCCACUUGGACACUGAAAAACUGGUCCAAGCUAUCAUUUUAUCUAGGCUGGACUACUGUAAAGUUAUCCUCACUGGCUCUCAUGAUGAAACCAUCAACAAACUAAGAACCUGCAAUCGAAUGCCGCAUUUCAGUUGAGGCUUUGGCAAAGAGGAUCUCCCCACCUGAGUUAGAUAUGAAAGACGAAGACAUGGAAGAACUACGUUUUGAAUCUUUGUCAAAGCAACGAACUAAAAGCCAAAGCAAACAGAAAAGGGGUUUAGCGUCUUUUGUGAAAACAAGGGACCUGCAACAUAGAUCUAGACCCCCUGAUUAAUCGAGAUCUUCUCCUACACGCCCAUUUGUAUAUCACUUCAAAUACAAAUUUGUUAUGGUUCAUUAUAGUACAAUGAGUGUGACUUGUACAUUAUUUACAUCCAGUGGCACACAUUUAGUUUAACAGAACUAUCGCUGUGUUCUUAGGAUAGAUCUUUUCCAGUCAGAGAAUGAUUUGUUUCACAUAAGCACAUUUGUGUUUGAGUGGGUGAAUAAGAAAAUAGUGCCACUCUGUGGCUAGCAGGUGCAAAUAUCUAAACCACAAGUAGGUACACAGCAUUAAUGCAACUCUGGGCCAAUGAAAGGGUCACCAUUAAUGCAACUCUGGGCCAAUGAAAGGGUCACCAUUAAUGCAACUCUGGGCCAAUGAAAGGGUCACCAUUAACAAUCUGAA
ensembl:lncRNA